rnacentral:tRNA from 1 species
UACAUUAUGGUGUAAGGCACGAAAGAUUUUGAUUCUUUAAGUAUAUUUAGUUUAUAUAAUGUAA